AAAAGUGGAAGGUUUGAUUGAUUUCCUCAUUUAAGAUAUAUCCAUGUUAAUGAGCAAACUUGAUGUGUACUUUUUUUCAUUUACUUCUUUUCUGUUUUAUAACUUUGAACAUCUUAAUACGUUUUACUUGAAAACAAAUAGUCCUUAGUUAAAUAAGGCAUUUUAUCCUUCAUGUUAUAUGCCUAUUAGCACAAAGAGUGUUUUGAUAUGUUGUAAUCUUUGCAUAAGCAAAGAAAUACGUUUUUAAAAAUGAAUCCUCAUGUAUCUAAAAUUAAACAUAGUUCAUACUGCUGUUGUAUAAAGUAGUACAUGUCUCAUAAAUGUGGUUUUGAUUUUGUUCAACUGUGUUCCUUUCAUGUGUACAUGAUUCCACAUAACUUUUAAAUGGACAUUUUUAAACUUAAUGUACCCAGCAUUAAGUUCUUGCACAUUCAGAAUAGUAUCACUUAUUAGAAAACAGUUUUUUCUUUCAUUCUCAGCAAAUUACUUGUUGAAGUUUGGUUCUGCCAAACUGAAAAAUUUGUAGCUCAAGCUUGUUCUUUAAAACAUACAGAUAAAGCUGUAAAUUUAAAGAAUUUUGAAUAUAAACUCAAGAAAUGAUAUUUAGUAGCUGGAAAGUGGAGGUUGAGCCUUUUUGGCUACCAUUUUAUAAUGUCUUACUGUCACAUUAGUUCAAAGAUCUGUUGUACUGUUGAACUGAUACUUUUAAAAUUCUAAUAAUCUUAAUCUCAACUGUAGCAUUGGUAUUCCUAAGUGAAUAGCAUCAGUUCAUUUUUCAAGCAUUUGUAAGAUUUCAAGUACUGUGACAUGUAUUUCUUGUGUGUGACAUGAAGCUAUUAUGUAUAUCCAAUAUUUCUGAUAGAUCACACUAAUAGACACCAAAGGUUCAACAAACUGUCUGUGCUCAUUGUCAUUUAGAUUAUAUGCAGUAAUGGUGACUCUUAAACCCAAUCAGAAGCUCAUCAUCGGAAUUGGGUAUUUUCUUAAACAAAGCAUGACUUAUUUCUCAGCAAACUAUAGAAAAAUACCAUAGAGUGUAACUUCAACAUGUAGUAAAACAAAAAAUUUAUUCUAAAGGCCCAGACUCCAGUCCUUUUAUGAAAGGCAUUACCUUCACAAAGAUUAAGGACAGGCCACUAGAUGAAAAAACUAUGCAAAUACUUUUACAGGACAGAAAUUUCCUUUUCAUCAGGUCAACUUUUUUUUUUUUGUCUCAUUUCCAGGCCCCACUUGGAAGGUAUUGAAUUACCCAACCUUACUUUUGAGAUGUGGUGCACUACACAUAAUGCAUAUUUCAAGUUUAUCCAAAAUAGAGGUUAAAAAUAAAAGCAAGAAAAAUUAUGCUUGCAAUACAAAAACAAAUUCAUC
rnacentral:lncRNA from 1 species